GGGACUGCAGGCGCUCGGCCGGCGCCGAGAUCCAGCGGAUCACGGUGACAGGCUUGGCGCGGUAGGCGGCGUCCAGGUCGUCGCAGACCUG
rnacentral:tRNA from 1 species